rnacentral:lncRNA from 1 species
AUGAGGGAGCUGGGCCCCCGAGGACCAAGGCUCUGCUCAGGGUGGUGUGAGGUCCUGCCAUCAGCACUGGAAGCCAGCGCUCCUGGCUUCACAUUCUCUCUGCUCCUCCCAGAGGCUGGGCGCUGUCACAGGACCCUUGGACCAGGGUGUAACCUGCCUGAACCUUUGGGCGGGCCUCUCCCCGAGGAGGCAAGUGAGCGUGAGCAGUGCUUGAUACCAGCGCUGAGCUGCACGACCAAGGCAGGGAUUCGAGGCAGGGGAGCUGAACCCAGGGCUCCUUUAAAGAUCACAGCCAGAAAAUCAGCCGCUCUUGCUUCUGGAGUAGCCUCUGUGCACGUGGUGAAGCGAGGAAUAAUCCAGGUCGCCUUCACUGGAAAUCAGUUUGCUGAAACUAUUGAUACGCAGUUCUUAACGCUGAAGAAAAGGAGGUCCUGCGCCUUGACCACACAAGCGUGGCCCUUCCUCCAGACCCCCGCUCCGGACGCGCCCACCUAGCGUCUCCCAGGAACCAUGCGGCAGCUCAAGGGGAAGCCCAAGAAGGAGACGUCCAAGGACAAGAAGGAGCGGAAGCAGGCCAUGCAGGAGGCCCGGCAGCAGAUCACCACCGUGGUGCUGCCCACGCUGGCCGUGGUCGUGGUCCUGAUCGUGGUGUUUGU